rnacentral:rRNA from 1 species
AUUAAACGCUGGCGGCAUGCCUUACACAUGCAAGUCGAACGGCAGCACGGGUGCUUGCACCUGGUGGCGAGCGGCGAACGGGUGAGUAAUACAUCGGAACGUACCUUAUCGUGGGGGAUAACGCAGCGAAAGUUGCGCUAAUACCGCAUACGCCCUGAGGGGGAAAGCGGGGGACCGUAAGGCCUCGCGCGAUUAGAGCGGCCGAUGUCUGAUUAGCUUGUUGGUGAGGUAAAAGCUCACCAAGGCGAUGAUCAGUAGCUGGUCUGAGAGGACGAUCAGCCACACCGGGACUGAGACACGGCCCAGACUCCUACGGGAGGCAGCAGUGGGGAAUUUUGGACGAUGGGGGCAACCCUGAUCCAGCAAUGCCGCGUGAGUGAAGAAGGCCUUCGGGUUGUAAAGCUCUUUUGUCAGGGAAGAAACAGCAGCUCUAACACAGUCUGCGAAUGACGGUACCUGAAGAAUAAGCACCGGCUAACUACGUGCCAGCCGCCGCCGUAA